CACAAGCUAGCUCAACUGGUAUAGCAUCUGACUAAGCAUCAGACGGUCGCCGGUUCAAAUCCGGCGCUUCAACCA
rnacentral:tRNA from 1 species